rnacentral:rRNA from 1 species
UACGUAGGGGGCGAGCGUUGUCCGGAAUUACUGGGCGUAAAGAGAGCGUAGGCGGCACUACAAAUCUCAUGUGAAAUACCCGGGCUUAACUUGGGGGUUGCAUGGGAAACUGUAGAGCUUGAGUACAGGAGAGGCAAGCGGAAUUCCUAGUGUAGCGGUGAAAUGCAUAGAUAUUAGGAGGAACACCAGUGGCGAAGGCGGCUUGCUGGACUGAAACUGACGCUGAGGCUCGAAAGCGUGGGGAGCAAACAGG